AUCGCUUCUCAGCCUUUUGGCUAAAAUCAAGUGUAGUAUCUGUUAUUAUCAGAAAGUUAAUCAACAACAUGCCCAGUUUAAUUUUACAUCACAGAAAUUUACAUCACAAAAUUAAGUCUUGAUGUUUUUGGUAGCUUUCAUGUUGGGAAUGGUUAACAGCCAAUUAUAC
ensembl:snRNA U2 U2 spliceosomal RNA